rnacentral:pre_miRNA from 1 species
CUUGUACUCCCUCCGUUCGGAAUUACUUGUCGCAAAAAUGGAUGUAUCUAGACUUAUUUUAGUUCUAGAUACAUCCAUUUCUGAGACAAGUAAUUCCGAACGGAGGGAGUAUAUA